rnacentral:rRNA from 1 species
AGUGAACGCUGGCGGCAGGCCUAACACAUGCAAGUCGAACGGCAGCACAGUAAGAGCUUGCUCUUAAGGGUGGCGAGUGGCGGACGGGUGAGGAAUACAUCGCAAUCUACUUUUUCGUGGGGGAUAACGUAGGGAAACUUACGCUAAUACCGCAUAUGACCUACGGGUGAAAGCAGGGGAUCUUCGGACCUUGCGCGAUUGUAUGAGCCGAUGUCGGAUUAGCUAGUUGGCGGGGUAAAGGCCCACCAAGGCGACGAUCCGUAGCUGGUCUGAGAGGAUGAUCAGCCACACUGGAACUGAGACACGGUCCAGACUCCUACGGGAGGCAGCAGUGGGGAAUAUUGGACAAUGGGCGCAAGCCUGAUCCAGCCAUACCGCGUGGGUGAAGAAGGCCUUCGGGUUGUAAAGCCCUUUUGUUGGGAAAGAAAAGCAGCAGGUUAAUACCCCGCUGUUCUGACGGUACCCAAAGAAUAAGCACCGGCUAACUUCGUG